AUACUUACCUGGCAGGGGAGACACUGUGAUCAGCAAGACGGUUUUCCCAGGGCGAGACUCAUUCAUUGCGUUUGGGAUUUCCCAAAUGCGAGAAACUCCGCUGAACAAUUUGUGGUAGUGGAGGACUGGAAAAAAUUGCUAGGAGGGUCACGCUCAG
ensembl:snRNA U1 U1 spliceosomal RNA